rnacentral:rRNA from 1 species
ACGCGUGGAACCUUACCAGGUCUUGACAUCCUCUGACACUCCUAGAGAUAGGACGUUCCCCUUCGGGGGACAGAGUGACAGGUGGUGCAUGGUUGUCGUCAGCUCGUGUCGUGAGAUGUUGGGUUAAGUCCCGCAACGAGCGCAACCCUUGUUCUUAGUUGCCAUCAUUUAGUUGGGCACUCUAAGGAGACUGCCGGUGACAAACCGGAGGAAGGUGGGGAUGACGUCAAAUCAUCAUGCCCCUUAUGACCUGGGCUACACACGUGCUACAAUGGACGGUACAAACGGUUGCCAACCCGCGAGGGGGAGCUAAUCCGAUAAAACCGUUCUCAGUUCGGAUUGUAGGCUGCAACUCGCCUACAUGAAGCCGGAAUCGCUAGUAAUCGCGGAUCAGCAUGCCGCGGUGAAUACGUUCCCGGGCCUUGCACUCACCGCCCGU